UACGUAGGGUGCGAGCGUUGUUCGGAAUUACUGGGCGUAAAGGGCUCGUAGGCGGCCAACUAAGUCGGAUGUGAAAUCCCCAGGCUUAACCUGGGAACUGCAUCCGAUACUGGAUGGCUUGAAUUCGGGAGAGGGAUGCAGAAUUCCAGGUGUAGCGGUGAAAUGCGUAGAUAUCUGGAGGAAUACCGGUGGCGAAGGCGGCAUCCUGGACCGAGAUUGACACUGAGGCGCGAAAGCCAGGGGAGCAAACGGG
rnacentral:rRNA from 1 species